rnacentral:rRNA from 1 species
GUCCACAGCAAUGCCACCCUGAACAUACCUGAUCUCCUGUGAUCUUGGAAGCUAAGUGGGUUGGGUCCAGUUAGCACUUGGAUGAGAGUACCUGGGAAUACCAGGUGCUGUAGACU